ensembl:misc_RNA Y_RNA Y RNA
GGCUGAUCCAAAGGGAGUGAGUUAUCUCGAUUAAUCACAGUCAGUUACAGAUUGAACUCUUUGUUCUACUCUUUGCCUCCUUCUCACUAUUGUACUUGACUAGUGUUAA